CGGGUGCUGCAAUUACACUUUCGCGCAAUAGCAGCAAGCCGGUCUCUGGCUAUAUUCUGUGAAUGGAUACUCCCACGGGCCUUUCAGCUGUAUAUAUCUGCUUGCCACAACCACGCACUAUGGGCCUUUUAUGCGUAAGGCCGCGAAACUCAGCCGUGUGCGACCAAACCUGCUUGAUGCGCUGUGUAGCGAUUACAUACAUGGGCAACGCGCUCAAAAGAGUACACGACAAACUACACGACGAGCAUAUAGUGACAAGUGGCAAGCAGCAGCAAAAGUUCGUGACGACACACACAUGCGUACAGGUGUGGAUGCUAGCUACGCUUGCAGCCUCCAGGUCUGAGAGACAGAGUAUGCAUGGCCCAGUGGCACCAGAGGGUAAACUUGGACACAGAUGCCCACAGGCCACGAGGUCA